rnacentral:rRNA from 1 species
AGAACGAACGCUGGCGGCAUGCCUAACACAUGCAAGUCGAACGAGACCUUCGGGUCUAGUGGCGCACGGGUGCGUAACGCGUGGGAAUCUGCCCUUAGGUUCGGAAUAACAGUUAGAAAUGACUGCUAAUACCGGAUGAUGACUUCGGUCCAAAGAUUUAUCGCCUAAGGAUGAGCCCGCGUAGGAUUAGCUUGUUGGUGAGGUAAAGGCUCACCAAGGCUACGAUCCUUAGCUGGUCUGAGAGGAUGAUCAGCCACACUGGGACUGAGACACGGCCAGACUCCGUACGGGAGCAGCAGGUGGGGAAUAGUUGGACAAGU